UACAGAGGCCUCGAGCGUUAAGCGGAAUCACUGGGCUUAAAGCGUGUGUAGGUGGAUGCCUAAGUACCUUGUGAAAUCCCAUGGCUUAACCAUGGAAUUGCUUGGUAUACUGGGUGUCUUGAGCCACUCAGGGGCUACUGGAACAAACGGUGGAGCGGUGAAAUGCGUAGAUAUCGUUUGGAACGCCAAUGGUGAAAACAAGUAGCUGGGGGUGUGCUGACACUGAGACACGAAAGCCAGGGGAG
rnacentral:rRNA from 1 species